UACGUAGGGGGCAAGCGUUGUCCGGAAUCACUGGGCGUAAAGCGCGCGCAGGCGGCGAUCUACGUCCGGGGUGAAAGCCCAGAGCUCAACUUUGGGACUGCCUUGGAUACGGGAUCGCUUGAGGAUCGGAGAGGCAAGGGGAAUUCCACGUGUAGCGGUGAAAUGCGUAGAGAUGUGGAGGAACACCUGUGGCGAAGGCGCCUUGCUGGCCGAUUUCUGACGCUGAGGCGCGAAAGCGUGGGGAGCAAACAGG
rnacentral:rRNA from 1 species